rnacentral:lncRNA from 1 species
CUUUAUGCAUUUAUUAAGGUGUUUGUUUGUUACGUAAAUCCUGCGUCUAUCAGAAUCGAAAGCUCUGUGACCACCGAAGAUGAUAAGAAAGGUCAUGAUGAGUGUCACGACGAACAUCACCAUGAUCACGACCAUCAUCAUCAUGAUCACCAUCACCACAAUGAACAUGGUAAGUUUGGUACCAGAAAAAUGCAGGAUAGCUUGCUUAUUGAUGUGUAUGCUUCAGCUUUAUUAACGUGAGCUAUUGCUUCUGGU